rnacentral:rRNA from 1 species
GACAGAGGUGCCGAGCGUUAGGCGGAAUCACUGGGCUUAAAGCGUGUGUAGGCGGGCGAUCAAGUACCUUGUGAAAUCCCACGGCUCAACCGUGGAACCGCUGGGUAUACUGGUUGUCUUGAGCCGGCUAGGGGCGAGCGGAACAGACGGUGAAGCGGUGAAAUGCGUAGAUAUCGUCUGGAACGCCGAAGGUGAAAACAGCUCGCUGGGGCCGCGCUGACGCUGAGACACGAAAGCCAGGGGAGCGAACGGG